rnacentral:rRNA from 1 species
CAAUAGCGUAUAUUAAAGUUGUUGCAGUUAAAAAGCUCGUAGUUGGAUUUCUGAUCGAGACAUCAGGUCGGGUCCGAGAGGAUCAUGUACUUUGAUUUUGUUUUGAUCAUCCUUGGGGAGAGCAUUUCUGGCAUUCAGUUGUCGGGAUUGGGAUCCUCAUCGUUUACUGUGAAAAAAUUAGAGUGUUCAAAGCAGGCCUCGGCCUCUGAAUACAUUAGCAUGGAAUAAUAAGAUAGGACUUUGGUGGUCUAUUUUGUUGGUUUGCACGCCAAAGUAAUGAUUAAUAGGGACAGUUGGGGGUAUUCGUAUUCAAUUGUCAGAGGUGAAAUUCUUGGAUUUAUGGAAGACGAACUACUGCGAAAGCAUUUACCAAGGAUGUUUUCAUUAA